rnacentral:tRNA from 1 species
GUUCAUGUAGUUUACUUAAAACGUUACAUUUUCACUGUAAGGAAGGGCUAAAGCCCCAUAAAUA